UCGUAACAAGGUCUCCGUUGGUGAACCAGCGGAGGGAUCAUUACCGAGUUUACAACUCCCAAACCCCUGUGAACAUACCAAUUGUUGCCUCGGCGGAUCAGCCCGCUCCCGGUAAAACGGGACGGCCCGCCAGAGGACCCCUAAACUCUGUUUCUAUAUGUAACUUCUGAGUAAAACCAUAAAUAAAUCAAAACUUUCAACAACGGAUCUCUUGGUUCUGGCAUCGAUGAAGAACGCAGCAAAAUGCGAUAAGUAAUGUGAAUUGCAGAAUUCAGUGAAUCAUCGAAUCUUUGAACGCACAUUGCGCCCGCCAGUAUUCUGGCGGGCAUGCCUGUUCGAGCGUCAUUUCAACCCUCAAGCCCCCGGGUUUGGUGUUGGGGAUCGGCGAGCCCUUGCGGCAAGCCGGCCCCGAAAUCUAGUGGCGGUCUCGCUGCAGCUUCCAUUGCGUAGUAGUAAAACCCUCGCAACUGGUACGCGGCGCGGCCAAGCCGUUAAACCCCCAACUUCUGAAUGUUGACCUCGGAUCAGGUAGGAAUACCCGCUGAACCUAAGCAUAUCAAUAAGCGGAGG
rnacentral:misc_RNA from 1 species